rnacentral:lncRNA from 1 species
CUGGGUGUAGUCAAGUACUUGACUUAUCGGUGCGUGUGUCAAGAUGGAAUUGACCACUUCAGUUUAGGUGCUGUGUACAGUCGUGUUUCAAUUUAGCAAAAUCUUGGCCAGGGUAGUCCUAGUGAGGAGUCACAGGACUAAUUGAGUUGAGCACGAUUCGGAUGAUAUCAUCAGGGUUGACAGUUUAACCCUGAGUCAUCCUAAACACAGGGGUCAAAAGGGAUAAAUUAUACGGUAACCAUAUUCACGUAGGUUCUGAAUGUUGCGAUUGCGAUUAUUCGACCUAUCCGAUCGUUGGGUACCAUUGCUAGA